UUUUUUUUUUUUUUUUUUUUUUACCUCUCCUAACAACAACACUGCCCAAGUGAUGUUGACAGACAUUUUCACCCACCUGAGACAAUAUAAAAUUUAGGAAAUUCUGCAUUCUACAUGUUGCUUUGGAGAGUCACAAGAAAAUUCUGAGAAAUCCUGCAAUAAGUAAAUCAAUUUAAUUUCGCUGAACCCAUGUCUCCCAAACAUAUCCAACCGUGACUAAACCUUUUUUUCUUUUCUCUUUUGGGGGCACCCAAAUGAGAGAGAGCUGCACCCAUCCAACUCCUCACAUUCCACUUUGGGAAGUUCCGGGUUAAGACAAGGCCUCCAGGAGCAACUGUCUAAAUCCCCAUGGCAGCAGGGAGCGAGGAAUGGUCAAAUGUCCACCCUGGAGAGCGGCUGCUGUCCACACUGGCAGGUCGUGCUACACCACCGGGCCCAGGGCCGCGGUAUGUCAAAGGGCCUGGGACCCACCAGUGAAGAAGCUGUAAAGCAGGGGCAUGGCUGUACUCUGGUCCUUUCUCCACCUGCUGCUCGGGCGUUCCUCUGCAGGCAUGCCACAGAAUGCAGUUCACCCUGACAGCCACGGGAGGAGGUACCUGGAAUCCUGUUUACCAUGCAACAUUAGCCCGCACCCACUUUGAAUUCUAGAAUGACAGGAAGGACAGAUUCUUCCUCCACUGCAGCAAAUGCCAUCACUCAAUGGGGAUAGAGUUCCAAAAACGACAACACAACAGGGUGUGUGUACCUCUGUGAGGGCAGUGUGUGUGUUUACAGACCCCAAAGGGGCUGACAGUUAAGCAAGCUCUGCUAUGGUCCAGGAGACACCUGUGUUCUGACGCAUGCAGCCCUAAUGCUAGACCCUGGAGUAGAUGCUAGUACUGUCUCUACCCUUCUUUGGCAAGUCACUUACCCUCUCUGAGCUUUAGUUUCCUCUUUGGUAAAACAGGAAUGUUAGUAAUAGUAAUAGGGUGAUUGGGAAGAUUAAAGUUUAAUACUUGCAAAGUGCUUAGACCAGUGCUUGCCUCACUCUAGGUACAAUAUAAGUGUCUGUUAAAUAAAAUAGUAUCAUUCACCUCUAAUCCCAGCUAUUCAGGAGGCUGAGGCACGAGAAUCACUUGAACCUGGGAAGCAGAGGUUGCAGUGAGCCCAGAUAGCACUGUUGUACUCUAGCCUGGGCAACAGAGCAAGGCUCUGUCUCAGAAAAACAACACAAAAAAACCCAAAAAUAAAAUAGUGUCAUUAAGUGUUUACCCCAAUUUCCGUCAACUGAUAAACGUUUUCUUUCAUACUAGAUGGUGACAUAUAGCAUUGGUGAAACAAGGCCCUUGCAUGCCUUGCUUUAGGGCAUCCUCCCCUGCGUCAUGAUGAUAACACACAAAAGGCCUGUGCCCACACUGACUUAGCUGCCUGCAGGCUCUCCCAGCUUUCUGGAGAACUGUGGUCACAGGUUAUGGAGAACCAGCUGUCACCGGUGUGUGCUAAAGAUCUGGCCUCAGUGGUUAUCGGAAAUUCUGCAGGAAAGGAAGAAGCAGGCAGGACAGGAGGCAUGGCUGCAGAGUCACAGAUGGGCCAGCAAUUACCCUGCACACGAAGGUGUCUUCCAGGGAUCUGCCAGUCCUGCUGCUGCAGGCAGCGCCUCCGAGGAGCCCCUGGAGGGAGCAGGAGAACCUGGCCCUGCCUCGACCUCACAUCCCUCAGUAAUCCUUAACUCAGCUGUGAAAAACAAUAAAAUAAAAACUACUUGAAAAAUAGACCCAAAAAAAGUACCAAAUAGAAACAAUAAAGCGAGUUUAUUGAAGCCUUGGUUCUUGCUAUCUUUGUGAUGUACUUGAAAAUAUCAUCAUAUAAAUAUAUUUCUGUACUUUUUUUUUUUUUUUCGAGACAGGGUCUUGCUCUGUCACUCUGACUGGAGCACAGUGGUGUGACCUCAGCUCACUGCAGACUCUGCCUUCCAGGAUCAAGAGAUCCUCCCACUUCAGCCUUCCAGGUAGCUGAAGCAGGAGAAUGGCAUGAAACCAGGAGGCGGAGCUUCCAGUGAACCGAGAUUGUGCCACUGCACUCCAGCCUGGGGAACAGAACGAGACUCCAUCUCAACAUAAAAAAAAAAAAAAAAAAAAGAAUGUAGGCCAAGACUGGGCAGUCAUGAUAAAUUUCUCUUUAAGCCUAAGGACGAGGGGCCCCCGCUGCUGCUCUUGGGGAUGCUGGGUGUGGGGCAGGCUCUCCCACUCUCUAGCUCACACACUGUCUGUGAACACAGCAGCCUGGCACACGUGCACACACAUGAGGGUCCCAGACACCUGGGGCUAUCAGGGCCCAUCACAUUGUGCAGUCUAUGUGCUCAGGGAGAGGUGGGAACACAUAGCCUCAAGAAGCAGAAACGCCAGGCCUCAGUCAUGGCCAGCUCAGCUUCCGGUUCAGGGUUUGCACGCUGCUUUGAGCCUUUGCUUUUACAGUUGUUGCCUUUAAAGUUCUGAACAUUUGGGGCAUGGCUCCCUCUAACGAGCAGUGCACCUCUCACCUCAAUGCACAUCUUUAAAUGUGUCUUUUUUGUCUUGUCUGUGGCAGCAUACACUUGCUUCUGUGAACCACCAGACGACGUACAUAGGCUAAUUUUCAUUUGGACCAAUGUGAAUGCUGACGUACAAAGGGCAAUAUCAAAGCAGGUCUAGUGUGUUCAUCAAGUAUUUCUAAACUUCCCUGAUUUUAAUUCCUGUUACUACAGUACUUGGAUAGGCACACUGCAUCUUAAAGACUUUUUUCAUGUAACGCAGGCAUAAUGCAAUGUGAAGAAAAUUAUCACUGAGAGGAAAACUGUUUCCCCAAAUUACGACUUACAUCGACAGUAAUGAGAAGCUAUUAAAAUAGAUUUUUGCAAAAUUUCUAAGCUGAUCUGCUGCUUGGAGUUUUGAGAUUUCCCACUGCUCUGCUAUUUUCCCAUUCUGUACGCACAGCACAGAUUCCUGCCAAGCUUAUUACAGUGAACAAACAAUGUCCUCUCUGUCAGAACAGAGAAUGAAUAGUAUCACAAAAUUCUCCUCUAAUGUACAGCCUACAUUUCCCUCACCCCAGCCCCUUCAGAAGAGAAUAACCAGGGUGAGGACCGAGGAGGAAAACAGGACUCUCCCCUGGCCAGUCGGAAACUGCCUUCCAGAACACUAAGGGCUAGGUAGUGUCAACCAUAUCAUAUUAACUUUUCAACAGAGAAAGUUGACAAGUUUAUUUUCUUUUAAGGGGGAUCAUAUGUUUUUGCAUUUCUGUGUGUGUACGUACACAAAUAUCUUUAUAAGGAAGGAGGUGUUUCAUCAGAUAAAAUUUUAGGUGGCGUUUCAUCAGAUAAAAUCAGACAGCUUUUAGCUACAGACUGAGCAGCGACAGGGGAACUUCAUAGAAAUGACACAGCAAUUUGUGCUAAAAUAUUGGCAGCUAAUUCAUGAAUGCCAAAGCUGACUAUGAAUUCGGCUGCUUCUGUUAAGCCUUUAUUCCCACUAAGCUCAUGAUUCACAAAGAAACCGCCUAGAGUUACUCCUCUGAAACAUACAGUAUCAUGCUGACAGAUUCUUCUUUGGUUUCUCUCUCUCUCUCUCUCUCUCUCUCUCUCUCUCUCUCUCUCACACACACACACACACACCCACACCCCUCCCCACAAGAGGCAGUAAAGAUAUGAUUUCCAAAACAAGAACUUCAUGAAGCAUUUCUCACAAACCAAUGAAAGACUUACUAAAGGCUUACUUAGCAGGUAUUUUCAUAGAAGAAC
ensembl:lncRNA